UCACACCUCCCUAAACUCCAGAACUUCACCAAGUUUGAAAGAGGCCAGGGCGGGAUCCCCUCCUUCUAGACUGCAGAACUCCAGAGUUUGAUCAUGGCUCAGGAUGAACGCUGGCGGCGUGCUUAACACAUGCAAGUCGAACGGUGAAGCCAAGCUUGCUUGGUGGAUCAGUGGCGAACGGGUGAGUAACACGUGAGCAACCUGCCCUGGACUCUGGGAUAAGCGCUGGAAACGGCGUCUAAUACUGGAUAUGAGGCGUGAUCGCAUGGUCAACGUCUGGAAAGAUUUUUCGGUCUGGGAUGGGCUCGCGGCCUAUCAGCUUGUUGGUGAGGUAAUGGCUCACCAAGGCGUCGACGGGUAGCCGGCCUGAGAGGGUGACCGGCCACAUCUGUCCAAACGGACC
rnacentral:rRNA from 1 species